GAUGAACGCUGGCGGCGUGCCUAAUACAUGCAAGUCGAGCGAACAGACGAGGAGCUUGCUCCUUCGACGUUAGCGGCGGACGGGUGAGUAACACGUAGGUAACCUACCUAUAAGACUGGGAUAACUUCGGGAAACCGGAGCUAAUACCGGAUAAUAUUUCGAACCGCAUGGUUCGAUAGUGAAAGAUGGCUUUGCUAUCACUUAUAGAUGGACCUGCGCCGUAUUAGCUAGUUGGUAAGGUAACGGCUUACCAAGGCAACGAUACGUAGCCGACCUGAGAGGGUGAUCGGCCACACUGGAACCGAGACACGGUCCAGACUCCUACGGGAGGCAGCAGUAGGGAAUCUUCCGCAAUGGGCGAAAGCCUGACGGAGCAACGCCGCGUGAGUGAUGAAGGUCUUCGGAUCGUAAAACUCUGUUAUUAGGGAAGAACAAACGUGUAAGUAACUGUGCACGUCUUGACGGUACCUAAUCAGAAAGCCACGGCUAACUACGUG
rnacentral:rRNA from 1 species